UGUAUGCUUAAUUUGAAAGUUUGAUUGCUUCAAUUUUUUCUGUCUCUUGCUUCCAUCUUUCUAUUUCAUAUGGGCUAGUGGUGGUUAUCACGUGUAAUAUGUUGUGAUCACUGCAGGCAGGUUGCAAGUUUCUUAUAUUUGCGCACCAUCAGCCAAUGAUAGAUGCGAUACAUGAGUGCCUUAUUAAGAAAAAAGUGGGUUGCAUCCGGAUUGAUGGAGGUACACCCGGUGCAUGAAGGCAACAAUUGGUUAGAUUUUUAGGAAAAGGAUUAUAUCAAAGCGGCUGUGCUAUCCAUUAAAGCUGGGGGAGUUGGAUUAACUUUAACUGCUGCAAGCUUUGCAGAACAAUCCUGGACUCCAGGUGACCUGAUUCAGGUCAAAGAUCGUGCUCAUAGAAUUGGCCUGGUCUCAUCAGUAAAUAUAUACUAGUUGUUGGCAAAUGAUACUGUUCACGACAUCAUAUGGUAGGUUUUGGUAUAGCAUUGACUUAACAUUUAUUAUGCAUUGAUGAUAUAAAUUUUUACAUCAUAGGGAUGUGGUGCAAUUCAAACUGGAUAAUUUGGGGCAGAUGUUAGAUGGCCAUGAGAACACCUUAGUUGUGCCAAAUAAUCAGCCAUUGAGUAGCCCUGCAAAGCAUACUACUAUUGAGCAUAGCCCUUCAAGGCAGAGAACUCUUGACCAGUUUAUCAGAAGAUGUGAUAACGUGGAUAGGUCAGAAGUCGGAACAUCAGCCUGAACCGAAACGGCCCUGUCAGUCAUGACUAGCAAGAUAUGCAAAAUGGAUUUCCAUUUUCGCAGAUACGUGGCCAGGGGCAAGUGAAUCGGAACUUAAAUGUUUAUGUCUACAUGCAGAACCAGAUGUGCUUACAUGGGGAAUUCACCUUUGACUACUCAAAUGCCUUUUGAAGCUGAAAUCCGUUGUACAACAAAUAAUAGAUUUUGAAUAGAACUGAUUACACUAAACUAUGUUGCUUGUGCUGGAGAUAAUGGUUUGGUUAUGUGAAAUAUGUGUUGGAAGAAAAUGUUGAUAAAGUCACCCAUCAUAUUUUAGGUUUCCACUUAUUGUUCUUAACUUUUU